CCAAUGUGGUCAUCCAUCGAGGUUACUAGUGGCUCUGUCCAGGUGGUAUAUGGGAGCAUAGCCCUAAGUGCUGUGGUGUGCAGUCCCCCUUCCAGUGUUGAAGAGCGAGUCUGUCUCUGGUUCUAGAGCUGACGAGGACAGCAUCCUAUAUAUUUUUAUAACUUCUCAGUCUCUAGACAGUUACUGAGGAGAAACCAUGCAGGGUGCAACU
rnacentral:snoRNA from 14 species